rnacentral:rRNA from 1 species
CCCCUCCGGGGCCGCAGCUAACGCAAUAAGUAUCCCGCCUGGGGAGUACGGUCGCAAGGCUGAACUCCAAAGGGAAUUGACGCGGGCCCGCACAAGCAGUGGAGCAUGUGGUGUAAUCCGAUGCAACGCGAAGAACCUUACCAGGUGCUGACAUCCAAAGAAUCUUCCUGAAAGGGAGGAGUGCCUUCGGGAGCUUCGAGACAGGUGGUGCAUGGUUGUCGUCAGCUCGUGUCGUGAGAUGUUGGGUUAAGUCCCGCAACGAGCGCAACCCUUGCUAUUAGUCGCUAACAGGUUAAGCUGAGCACUNUAAUGGGACUGCCGGUGCCAAGCCGGAGGAAGGUGGGGAUGACGUCAAAUCAUCAUGCCCUUUAUGACCUGGGCUACACACGUGCUACAAUGGAUGGUACAGAGAGCAGCAAGACCGCGAGGUGGAGCGAAUCUCAAAAAGCCAUUCUCAGUUCGGAUUGUAGUCUGCAACUCGAUUACAUGAAGUCGGAAUCGCUAGUAAUCGCGAAUCAGCAUGUCGCGGUGAAUGCGUUCCCGGGCCUUGUACACACCGCCAGUCACACCACGAAAGUCGGCAACACCUGAAGCCAGUGAGUUAACUCUCAAGAGAGGCAGCUGUCGAAGGUGGGGUUGGUAAUUGGGGUGAAGUCGUAACAAGGU